CACGGGUGCGUAACGCGUGGGAAUCUGCCCCCUUGGUUCGGAAUAACAGUUGGAAACGACUGCUAAUACCGGAUGAUGACGUAAGUCCCAAAGAUUUAUCGCCGAGGGAUGAGCCCGCGUAGGAUUAGGUAGUUGGCGGGGUAAAGGCGCACCAAGCCGACGAUCCUUAGCUGGUCUGAGAGGAUGAUCAGCCACACUGGGACUGAGACACGGCCCAGACUCCUACGGGAGGCAGCAGUGGGGAAUAUUGGACAAUGGGCGAAAGCCUGAUCCAGCAAUGCCGCGUGAGUGAUGAAGGCCUUAGGGUUGUAAAGCUCUUUUACCCGGGAUGAUAAUGACAGUACCGGGAGAAUAAGCUCCGGCUAACUCCGUGCCAGCAGCCGCGGUAAUACGGAGGGAGCUAGCGUUAUUCGGAAUUACUGGGCGUAAAGCGCACGUAGGCGGCUUUGUAAGUAAGAGGUGAAAGCCCAGAGCUCAACUCUGGAAUUGCCUUUUAGACUGCAUCGCUUGAAUCAUGGAGAGGUCAGUGGAAUUCCGAGUGUAGAGGUGAAAUUCGUAGAUAUUCGGAAGAACACCAGUGGCGAAGGCGGCUGACUGGACAUGUAUUGACGCUGAGGUGCGAAAGCGUGGGGAGCAAAC
rnacentral:rRNA from 1 species